GGCGCUCGGGCGUUGUCUGUCCGGCCGGCCCUGUUCCGGGACCAUGUCCGGGUCCGUGUGUAGGGACGGGGGGGAAGUGAGCCCGUGCGCACACUGAGGAGCAGCAGCCCGCCGAAGAGGCCCUAGGGCAGGGAGUGCGGGACAGGGCCCGGGGCUUCGCGCCCUCCCCGGGGGCGCCCUCUUCGCGUGUCACCUCGGGUCACCAACAUGGCGGCUCAGAGCGGAGCCUGGUCUGGAUCCACCAUGAAACCUUCCAACAGGAAUAGAGGAAUAUGUUAGAAAACAGAAAAAUGAACUAUCAAGCAAAAAUAAGCAAAUGAAAAUGAAAGCCCAUGACCGUGAAGAGUCAUGAGUGAAGUAUCCAUGAGUGGAGAAAUGGUGCCUGAGAAAAACAUGCAGACCACUAAUUUAAAGGAGUUUUAAGUUUGCAUUUGGAAAUACUGUAGACCCCCUAUCUACAGUUUCAUUUUUCACGGUUUCAGUUAUCUGUAGUCAACUGCUGUCCAGAAACAGAUGAUCCUCCUUCUAUAUCAUCAGAAGGUUGAUAAUAGCCCGAUGCUCCCUCACAAUGCCUACAGCAUUCACCUCACUGCAUCUUAUGUAGGCAUUUUAUCAUCUCAAUUCAUCACA